rnacentral:lncRNA from 1 species
AAGAAGGUAAAUUGUAUUCUGUGUGAGAAGCUUUAAACGUGAGCCUAAUGGAAAGGGGAUAUUCCAUGAAACAAAGGCACACCUCCAGAAACAACAAAGACAAACACUCAGCUGCAGAGGAUUUGCUGACUCAGAGCUCUGCAAAACCUACCUGAUCAAGCAGCAUCCUUAUCCAGCUCAGAAAAAAAGGAGUGAUCAGUUCCACUCAAGACUCACACAAGACUUCAACAGCGAAUUAUUUUCAUGAAGCUUCUUCCUCCUGUGAAGCAAAAAUGGCAACUUUGGUUACUGUCUUCUGCAAUAUCAUAGAUUUCCCAAGAAAGAGCCACACCUUACACAUAGAGUUGGACAGGUAUCCUGGCUAAACGGAACAGUGUUAGUGUGAAUCCCUCCUGGAAGAUGCUAAAUCCAUGAGGCCAUUUUUUAUCAUGGAACCAUUAUAGA